rnacentral:misc_RNA from 1 species
AACGCACAUUGCGCCCGCCAGUAUUCUGGCGGGCAUGCCUGUUCGAGCGUCAUUUCAACCCUCAGGGCCUGCCCCUGGUGUUGGGGACCGGCAGUCGACGGCGUCGGGGGUCCUCCCCCCGCCGCCGCCCCGCCGCCCCCGAAAUGAAUUGGCGGUCACGUCGCGGCCUCCUCUGCGUAGUAGCACAACCUCGCAACGGGAGCGCGGCGCGGCCACUGCCGUAAAAAGACGCAUCACGCAACUUCUCAAGAGUUGACCUCGAAUCAGGUAGGAAUACCCGCUGAACUUAA